GAAAGUUUGGGGCUCAACCUUAAAAUUGCAGUUGAUACUGGCGUCCUUGAGUGCGGUUGAGGUGUGCGGAAUUCGUGGUGUAGCGGUGAAAUGCUUAGAUAUCACGAAGAACUCCGAUUGCGAAGGCAGCACACUAAGCCGUAACUGACGUUCAUGCUCGAAAGUGUGGGUAUCAAACAGGAUUAGAUACCCUGGUAGUCCACACGGUAAACGAUGGAUACUCGCUGUUGGCGAUAUACGGUCAGCGGCUUAGCGAAAGCGUUAAGUAUCCCACCUGGGGAGUACGCCGGCAACGGUGAAACUCAAAGGAAUUGACGGGGGCCCGCACAAGCGGAGGAACAUGUGGUUUAAUUCGAUGAUACGCGAGGAACCUUACCCGGGCUUAAAUUGCAAAGGAAUGAUCUGGAAACAGGUCAGUCUUCGGACCUUUGUGAAGGUGCUGCAUGGUUGUCGUCAGCUCGUGCCGUGAGGUGUCGGCUUAAGUGCCAUAACGAGCGCAACCCUCGCCGCCAGUUACUAACAGUUAAAGCUGAGGACUCUGGCGGGACUGCCAUCGUAAGAUGUGAGGAAGGUGGGGAUGACGUCAAAUCAGCACGGCCCUUACGUCCGGGGUUACACACGUGUUACAAUGGGCGGUACAGAAGGCAGCUACCUGGCGACAGGAUGCCAAUCCCGAAAGCCGCUCUCAGUUCGGACUGGAGUCUGCAACCCGACUCCGUGAAGCUGGAUUCGCUAGUAAUCGCGCAUCAGCCACGGCGCGGUNNNUACGUUCCCGGGCCUUGUACACACCGCCCGUCAAGCCAUGAAAGCCGGGNNNNNNNNAAGUGCGUAACCGCAAGGAGCGCCCUAGGGUAAAACCGGUAAUUGGGGCUAAGUCGUAACAAGGUAACCA
rnacentral:rRNA from 1 species